AGCGAACGCUGGCGGCGUACUUAACACAUGCAAGUCGAACGGGGGAUCGUCAGUGUAGCAAUACAUCGGCGGUUCUAGUGGCGCACGGGUGAGUAACACGUGGGUAACCUGCCCUUGAGUUCGGGAUACCCUCUCGAAAGGGAGGCUAAUACCGGAUACGUUCCUCGGAUUGCGAAGUCUGGGGAGGAAAGGUGGCGCAAGCUGCCGCUCUUGGAGGGGCUCGCGGCCUAUCAGCUAGNGGUGAGGUAACGGCUCACCAAGGCUAUGACGGGUAGCUGGUCUGAGAGGACGACCAGCCACACGGGAACUGAGACACGGUCCCGACUCCUACGGGAGGCAGCAGUGGGGAAUUUUGCGCAAUGGGCGAAAGCCUGACGCAGCAACGCCGCGUGUGUGAUGAAGGUCUUCGGAUUGUAAAGCACUUUCGACCGGGACGAACACCUGCUGGCCAAUAUCCAGCAGCCUGACGGUA
rnacentral:rRNA from 1 species